rnacentral:rRNA from 4 species
CGUAACAAGGUCUCCGUAGGUGAACCUGCGGAGGGAUC